UGGGGAAUUUUGGACAAUGGGGGAAACCCUGAUCCAGCCAUCCCGCGUGUGCGAUGAAGGCCUUCGGGUUGUAAAGCACUUUUGGCAGGAAAGAAACGUCAUGGGUUAAUACCCCGUGAAACUGACGGUACCUGCAGAAUAAGCACCGGCUAACUACGUGCCAGCAGCCGCGGUAAUACGUAGGGUGCAAGCGUUAAUCGGAAUUACUGGACGUAAAGCGUGCGCAGGCGGUUCGGAAAGAAAGAUGUGAAAUCCCAGAGCUUAACUUUGGAACUGCAUUUUUAACUACCGGGCUAGAGUGUGUCAGAGGGAGGUGGAAUUCCGCGUGUAGCAGUGAAAUGCGUAGAUAUGCGGAGGAACACCGAUGGCGAAGGCAGCCUCCUGGGAUAACACUGACGCUCAUGCACGAAAGCGUGGGGAGCAAACA
rnacentral:rRNA from 1 species